GCCGGAGUGGCGGAAUAGGUAGACGCCCGGGACUUAAAAUCCCGUGAGACUUAACUCUCGUAUCGGUUCGAGCCCGAUUUCCGGUACCA
rnacentral:tRNA from 1 species